rnacentral:tRNA from 3 species
ACUAAAAUGGCAGAUAGAUGUGUAAGAUUUAAGCUCUUAUUAGGAAAUAUUAUUUCUUUUAGUA